GAUGAACGCUGGCGGCAUGCCUAAGACAUGCAAGUCGAACGAGAUGGCCCAGUGAAGGUUGCGUGCUUGCACAAGACUGAAUCUGGAUCACCAUCUAGUGGCAGACGGGUGAGUAACACGUGGGUGACCUACCUUUUCGUUGGGGAUAACAGUUGGAAACGAUUGCUAAUACCGAAUAAAAUAUAAGAGCCAAUUUUAUAUUGAAAGGAGCCUUUAAAGCUUCGCGAUUAGAUGGGCCUGCGGCGUAUUAACUUGUUGGUGAGGUAACGGCUCACCAAGGUAACGAUGCGUAGCCGAACUGAGAGGUUGAUCGGCCACACUGGGACUGAGACACGGCCCAGACUCCUACGGGAGACAGCAGUUAGGAAUAUUCGUCAAUGGGGGAAACCCUGAACGAGCAAUGCCGCGUGAGUGAUGACGGUCCUUUGGAUUGUAAAACUCUGUUGUAUGGAAAAAAAUGACUAGGUUAGGAAAUGAACCUAGUGUGAUGGUACCAUACCAGAAAG
rnacentral:rRNA from 1 species